rnacentral:rRNA from 1 species
AUUGAACGCUGGCGGCAUGCUUUACACAUGCAAGUCGAACGGUAACAGGGAGCUUGCUCCGCUGACGAGUGGCGAACGGGUGAGUAAUAUAUCGGAACGUACCCAAGAGUGGGGGAUAACGUAGCGAAAGUUACGCUAAUACCGCAUACGAUCUAAGGAUGAAAGCAGGGGACCUUCGGGCCUUGUGCUCCUGGAGCGGCCGAUAUCUGAUUAGCUAGUUGGUGAGGUAAAGGCUCACCAAGGCGACGAUCAGUAGCUGGUCUGAGAGGACGACCAGCCACACUGGAACUGAGACACGGACCAGACUCCUACGGGAGGCAGCAGUGGGGAAUUUUGGACAAUGGGCGCAAGCCUGAUCCAGCAAUGCCGCGUGAGUGAAGAAGGCCUUCGGGUUGUAAAGCUCUUUUGUCAGGGAAGAAACGGGAUUGGCUAAUAUCCAGUCCUAAUGACGGUACCUGAAGAAUAAGCACCGGCUAACUACGUG